rnacentral:rRNA from 1 species
GAUGAACGCUAGCGGCAGGCCUAAUACAUGCAAGUCGAGGGGUAGAGCUAGCUUGCUAGCUUGAGACCGGCGCACGGGUGCGUAACGCGUAUGCAACCUACCCUUUUCUGGGGGAUAGCCCGGAGAAAUCCGGAUUAAUACCGCAUAAGACCACGAUACGGCAUCGUGAUGUGGGCAAACAUUUAUGGGAGGAGGAUGGGCAUGCGUGCCAUUAGCUAGUUGGCGGGGUAACGGCCCACCAAGGCGACGAUGGCUAGGGGAUCUGAGAGGAUGGCCCCCCACACUGGUACUGAGACACGGACCAGACUCCUACGGGAGGCAGCAGUAAGGAAUAUUGGUCAAUGGGGGCAACCCUGAACCAGCCAUGCCGCGUGCAGGACGACGGCCCUCCGGGUUGUAAACUGCUUUUGUACGGGAAUAAACCCCGCUACGUGUAGCGGGCUGAAUGUACCGUAAGAAUAAGGAUCGGCUAACUCCGUGCCAGCCGCCGCCGUAA